GACGAACGCUGGCGGCGUGCUUAACACAUGCAAGUCGAGCGGUAAGGCCCUUUCGGGGUACGACGAGCGGCGAACGGGUAGAGUAACACGUGGGUGACCUGCCCUCCAGCUCUGGGAGUAAGCCUGGGAAACGUGGGUCUAAUACUGGAUAUGACUCCACGGUGCAUGUCGUGGGGUGGAAAGCCUUGUGCGGCUGAGGAUGGGCCCGCGGCCUAUCAGCUUGUUGGUGGGGUGAGGCCUACCAAGGCGACGACGGGUAGCCGGCCUGAGAGGGCGACCGGCCACACUGGGACUGAGACACGG
rnacentral:rRNA from 1 species